GAUGAAGAACGCAGCGAAAUGCGAUAAGUAAUGUGAAUUGCAGAAUUCAGUGAAUCAUCGAAUCUUUGAACGCGCAUUGCGCCCGCCAGCACUCUGGCGGGCAUGCCUGUUCGAGCGUCAUUUCAACCAUCAAGCCCCCAGGGGCUUGUGCUGGGGCCCUGCGGCUGCCCGCAGGCCCUGAAAACCAGUGGCGGGCUCGCUAGUCACACCGAGCGCAGUAGCACAUCUCGCUCAGGGCGUGCGGCGGGCUCCUGCCGUGAAACCCCCCACUGUAACCCCAAAGGUUGACCUCGGAUCAGGUAGGAAUACCCGCUGAACUUAAGCAUAUCAAUAAGCGGAGGA
rnacentral:misc_RNA from 1 species